rnacentral:rRNA from 1 species
GCCAGCGCUUAAUUGCGCGGCGAAAAACCUUUCACACUAUGUUUUUUAUUAAUUUGAAACUCUUGCUUUGGUCUGGCUUAGAAAUAAGUUGGGCCAAAGGAUAUACCAAACUUCAAUUUUUUAAUUGAAUUGUUAUUUUAAUUAUUUUGUCAAUUUGUUGAUUAAAUUCAAAAAAUCUUCAAAACUUUCAACAACGGAUCUCUUGGUUCUCGCAUCGAUGAAGAACGCAGCGAAAUGCGAUAAGUAAUAUGAAUUGCAGAUUUUCGUGAAUCAUCGAAUCUUUGAACGCACAUUGCGCCCUUUGGUAUUCCAAAGGGCAUGCCUGUUUGAGCGUCAUUUCUCUCUCAAAUCUUCGGAUUUGGUUUUGAGUGAUACUCUUAGUCGAACUAGGCGUUUGCUUGAAAUGUAUUGGCAAGAGUGGUACUAGAUAGUGCUGAACUGUUAUUCAAUGUAUUAGGUUUAUCCAACUCGUUGAAAUCAGAUUGGUAUUUGUUUAUUACACAGGCUCGGCCUUACAACAACAAACAAAGUUUGACCUCAAAUCAGGUAGGACUACCCGCUGAACUUAAGCAUAUCA